GACGUAGGAUGCAAGCGUUGUCCGGAUUUAUUGGGCGUAAAGAGUUCGUAGGCGGUUCGUUAAGUCUGAUGUUAAAUAUCGGGGCUCAACCUCGGGAGUGCAUUGGAUACUGGCGGACUGGAGUGUGGUAGAGGUUAGUGGAAUUCCCAGUGUAGCGGUGAAAUGCGUAGAUAUUGGGAAGAACACCGGUGGCGAAGGCGGCUCACUGGCUCAUUACUGACGCUCAGGCGCGACAGCGUGGGGAUCAAACAGG
rnacentral:rRNA from 1 species